rnacentral:rRNA from 1 species
GACGAACGCUGGCGGCGUGCUUAACACAUGCAAGUCGAACGGAAAGGCCCUGCUUUUGUGGGGUGCUCGAGUGGCGAACGGGUGAGUAACACGUGAGUAACCUGCCCUUGACUUUGGGAUAACUUCAGGAAACUGGGGCUAAUACCGGAUAGGAGCUCCUGCUGCAUGGUGGGGGUUGGAAAGUUUCGGCGGUUGGGGAUGGACUCGCGGCUUAUCAGCUUGUUGGUGGGGUAGUGGCUUACCAAGGCUUUGACGGGUAGCCGGCCUGAGUGGGUGACCGGCCACAUUGGGACUAAGAUACGGCCCAGACUCCUACGGGAGGCAGCAGUAGGGAAUAUUGCACAAUGGGCGGAGGCCUGAUGCAGCAACGCCGCGUGCGGGAUGACGGCCUUCGAGUUGUAAACCGCUUUCGCCUGUGACGAAGCGUGAGUGACGGUAAUGGGUAAAGAAGCACCGGCUAACUACGUG